rnacentral:rRNA from 1 species
UCCCGGAGCACAGCCCUGAAAGGGCGGUACGUGCGUGAGGGAAGAACACUUCAACUUUCUAGAUAUCAGAAUAAGGUAUCUAACUUUCGAAUACAUAGGGGUUAGAAGCGAACCCGGGGAACUGAAACAUCUAAGUACCCGGAGGAAAGGACAUCAAACGAGACUCCGUAAGUAGUGGCGAGCGAACGCGGACCAGGCCAGUGGCUUUUAUGAGACAAGUGGAACACCUUGGAAAGGGUGACCGAAGUGGGUGAUAGUCCCGUACACGUAAUGCGAAUAAAAGUCCUUGAGUAGGGCGGGACACGUGAAAUCCUGUCUGAACAUGGGGAGACCACUCUCCAAGCCUAAGUACUCGUGCAUGACCGAUAGCGAACCAGUACCGUGAGGGAAAGGUGAAAAGCACCCCGACAAGGGGAGUGAAAGAGAUCCUGAAACCGAAUGCCUACAAACAGUUGGAGCCCAAGAUUUGUUCUGGGUGACAGCGUACCUUUUGUAUAAUGGGUCAGCGACUUAGUCUGACGAGCAAGCUUAAACCGGUAGGUGUAGGCGCAGCGAAAGCGAGUCUGAACAGGGCGUUCAGUUCGUCGGAUUAGACCCGAAACCAAGUGAUCUAGCCAUGAGCAGGUUGAAGGUAAGGUAACACUUACUGGAGGACCGAACCCGCAUCUGUUGCAAUAGAUUGGGAUGACUUGUGGCUAGGGGUGAAAGGCCAAUCAAACCGGGAGAUAGCUGGUUCUCCGCGAAAUCUAUUUAGGUAGAGCGUCGAUCGAAUACCUUCGGGGGUAGAGCACUGGAUGGGCUAGGGGAUCUCACCGAUUUACCAAACCUAACCAAACUCCGAAUACCGAAGAGUACUAAUCGGCAGACACACGGCGGGUGCUAACGUCCGUCGUGAAGAGGGCAUCAACCCUGACCACCAUCUAAGGUCCCUAAGUUAUGGCUAAGUGGGAAAGGAUGUGAGGAUCCCAAAACAACCAGGAUGUUGGCUUAGAAGCAGCCAUCAUUUAAAGAAAGCGUAACAGCUCACUGGUCUAAAUAAGGGUCUUUGCGCCGAAAAUGUACCGGGGCUAAAGCCAUACACCGAAGCUGUGGAUUCUUUGGAACCUUCGGGUUCCCGAGAGUGGUAGCGGAGCGUUCUGUAAGCCGUUGAAGAGAGACCCGUGAGGGCUCUUGGAGGUAUCAGAAGUGAGAAUGCUGACAUGAGUAACGAUAAAGGGAGUGAGAGACUCCCUCGCCGAAAGUCCAAGGGUUCCUGCUUAAAGUUAAUCUGAGCAGGGUUAGCCGGCCCCUAAGGCGAGGCCGAAAGGCGUAGUCGAUGGGAACCACGUUAAUAUUCGUGGGCCUGCGGGUAGUGACGGAUCGCGUAUGUUGUUCUUCCUUAUUGGAUUGGAAGGGCUUCGAAGCGGUUCCAGGAAAUAGCUCCCGCGUAUAGACCGUACCCUAAACCGACACUGGUGGACUGGUAGAGAAUACCAAGGCGCUUGAGAGAACUGCGUUGAAGGAACUCGGCAAAUUGCACGCGUAACUUCGGAAGAAGCGUGACCCUUAUGUACGCAAGUAUGUGAGGGUGGCACAGACCAGGGGGUAGCGACUGUUUACCAAAAACACAGGGCUCUGCGAAGUCGCAAGACGACGUAUAGGGUCUGACGCCUGCCCGGUGCUGGAAGGUUAAGAGGAGAGGUGCAAGCUUUGAAUCGAAGCCCCAGUAAACGGCGGCCGUAACUAUAACGGUCCUAAGGUAGCGAAAUUCCUUGUCGGGUAAGUUCCGACCUGCACGAAUGGCGUAACGACUUCCCCGCUGUCUCCAGCAGAGACUCAGUGAAAUUGAAUUCCCCGUGAAGAUGCGGGGUUCCUGCGGUUAGACGGAAAGACCCCGUGCACCUUUACUAUAGCUUUACACUGGCAUUCGUGUCGGCAUGUGUAGGAUAGGUGGUAGGCUUUGAAGCAGGGACGCCAGUUUCUGUGGAGCCAUCCUUGAAAUUCCACCCUUAUCGUCAUGGAUGUCUAA